ACCAGCGACAUACUAUAACUACCCUCUAUAAGACAGCGACAUACAAAUACCUCUAUAAGACAAGCCAACAUGUUACCUACCCUUGCUAAUAGGACCCAGCAACAUGUUUACCUACCCUCUAUAGGACCAGCAACAUGCUAACUAACCUCUAUAGGACCAGCAACAAUGUUAACUACCCUCGAUAGACCAGCAAACAUGCUAAACUACCUCUAUAGGAACCAGAACAUGUUAACUACCGCUCUAUAGGACCAGCAACAUGGUUACCUACCCUCUAUAGGACCAGACAUGCUACUACCCUCUAUAGGACCAGCGACAUACUAACUAACCCUCUAUAGGACACAGCAACACACUAACACCCUCUAAGGACCAGCAACAUGUUACCACUCUACCCUCUAUAGGAGCAGCAACAUGUACCUACCCUAAGGACCAGCAACAAUGUUACCUACCCUCUAUAGGACCAGCAACAUGUUACCUACCUCUAUAGGACCAGCAACAAUACUAACCUAAAACCCUCUAUAGGGACCACAACAUACUAACUAGACCUCUAUAGGCCCCACCCAUGCAAACUACAAACCUCUAAGGACAGCAACAUCAACUAUACCUCUAUAGGACCAGCACACUCUAACUACUUUCUGGGAAAUGAGCAGGUAUAUUAUCAUGUAAUUGGACAGUGUGCGAACAUGUUACCUACCCUCAUAGGACCAGCAACACACUAACUACUCUCUAUAGGACCCGCAACACACUCUAAC
rnacentral:lncRNA from 1 species